rnacentral:lncRNA from 1 species
AACAAAAACCAUAGAAAAACAAAAUCUUCCAAGGCGGCACCUCAAGAACAGGAUGACAACGAUGGAGAACAUCGCAGAGGCGUCACCGUCCUCUUACCCAAAACUUCAAAAAAUUAAAACCCCACCUAAAUAACCAAGGUUAAACAAGAAUCUACCAACCGUUUUCAAAAGUAACCAACCAAACUCAUAGAUCGGAGUUCACAUGACACAAAUCCUAACUUGUUCAAAUAACACCAAAUCAACAAUAUCAAAUGGGAAAUCAGCCAUUCACACAAACAUCAUCAAAAAAGGCAAAAAUGACGAGAAGUGUAACAAAAAACGACCUUGUCGGAGACUUAAAAUCCGACGAGAAACUCUGGUGCAAGAAAUAACUCAGGUACGUAAAUUCUUUAUAUCCUCGUUCUUCCUUGUUUCCUGCUCGCCUUGACUCCUUCUUCUACUGUCUUCUGAAUGUUAUGUGUUUAAAUAUUGAUUUUUUUUAUGAAAUAAGGGGUCUUAGCUCAUCCCUAAUCAAACUUCAAUAUGAAGUUUAGAGAGCCUUUCUUAGAGUAUGAGCUUUGAGUGAGGGGUCAGUUUUGAAUUCUGCAGAGUUUUAGUGUUUUUUUUGUUCAUCAAAAUGAGUGAAGGAGAGGCACUGUUUUUGAUGCUUGAUCAUGCUAUAUAUAAAAUAUAGUCUAUCGGGUACUUGACUGCAAGUGCACAGUCCAGUCGCUUUAGUUUUAAAAGAUAUCGAUCCCACAGGGACCUAUGGUCAAACUAGUGUUACUAACGUCACUAUGUUUACUGCAAGUGCACAGUCCAGUCGCUUUAGUUUUAAAAGAUAUCGAUCCCACAGGGACCUAUGGUCAAACUAGUGUUACUAACGUCACUAUGUUUAGCUAAGGGAAUGAUUAGUAGAAGUUCGGGUGCAUAAUAUUAAAUCUAAGGGAAAUUUAGUUUUAAGAAAGAAUUGAUGGAAGGAACCAGUAUGCAACGCAUUAAUUGUCAGAGAUUCGAUAAGUCAUCGGUGAAUAGUUUAAAUGCCAAAUAUCUCUUAGUAGAAAAUAUUUAUUUAAAAAGCUUUAUCUCACACUCUCGUGAUUGUUGAUUCGGCCUAUAGUUUUAAGUCAGAAUGUACGCUCUCGCUGUUCCAUUUGAAGUUAAAAUUACUUUUUGAAAAUAAAUAAGUUCUAAUUGCUUUUAAAGUGCUCUCGCUGUUUUUAAACUCAACGCCUAAUUUUUACUAUCUAGCUCGAGCCUCACGCUCUCGCGAUUGCUGGUUCUCACCUUAGUUAAUUUCCCACUCUCGUGGCAAAAUCGUAUUAAAUAGCUUCUCACGCUUUUGUGAUAAAGUUAAUUAAAUUUAGAUUAAAAACUUCAGCCUAAAAGAUUGUUUGAGAAAAAGAAUUUCCAACGAUUAUUAUUAAAUCCCAUCUAAUUAAAUUGCUACAUACCGAUACCGGUAAUUUAGCCGGACAUGUUAAAUAAGGCAAACACAGAGCAUAAACAGAUCAACAUUGCGGCAAACAUAAUUAUAAUAAUAACUAGGCAAUAAUAAUAAUAAUCUAAUAAAAAUCUGGCAAUCGAAGUAAUAGAGUAUAACGAAUCUCGGAGUACUUGAGCAGUCCUCCACAAGUCGGUAGGCUUCUGCUUCUUCAAUACAAAUUUCUUACUAAUUUAAAUAAAGUGUAGUAGUUCCCCAGUGUAGGAAACUACUACUAUGGCUAACUGGAAAACGGGAAGGAAAAGAGAAAACGGGAAUUCUAAAAAAAAAUGAAAAAUGAACUAAGGCAACGGAAACAAAGUUGCUGAAAAGAAAAUAACUAAAAAGCUAGAAUGCUGUAAAAAUUAAUUGUAGAGCGUAAGUGUAGAUGUUCCAUUUUUUCCAACUUUUGUCCUUUAUAUAUUGCCUUGGUAGGUCUUGGCGGUUGAGAAAUUUAAGGAAGAUUGGUUGAAUGAGGAAUCCACGGGGGAGUCUUGCUGUUGGAGAGAAUUUAGGCACGUUUGGGUGCCUCUGGCUGACUGUUUCAAAGCGUAAAAUCUGGCCGUAUGACGUUCGUCAUGGGCCUGUGACGGUCGUCACAGGCUGGAUCGUGACGGUCGUCAUGAAGCUUGUGACGGUCGUCACAACAACAAUUUCUGCAUUCUGGUUUUCUGCUUUCUCCUGUGCUUUCUCAUCUGUUUCUUCUUCUUUUUCUUCCUUUUCUUCAUUUUGCUCAUUAAUGCUUGGAGAUUUAAAUACCUGGAAAAACAACUCGAAUACUUAUGGAAUAAUCAGAAUAUUAAUCAAAGUGGUAUGACCUUUGAGUGUAAAUCAAGGCAAAUAUCUGAUGUAUUUUCGCGUUAUCAAACUCCCCUAAACUUGAAUCUUUGCUUGUCGUCAAGGAAAUACAAUUUGAAAACAAAGUUAAACGCGAAUACAUUACCCAUUCGUAUGUGGCUGUCAGGUGGAUCGUUAAGAUGGCCGAUAGUCAAGUAAAACACUAAAGAUACUGUGACGACACAAGCAUUAAGCAUUAGCGUAGAUCUCUCCUUUGCACAAGCCAGUUCGAAUCUUGCUAUUAUAGCUCAACCUAGUGUGUCUCGUUCCUAUUUCACCCGGUUUCAUUCUAGCGCAAUCACAUUAAGCCCUUUGCCUCCGCACGCAUUUAGUGAAGUAGCCGGUUAGUGACUUUGAUCCUUUUCUUGGCACGGGGGUCUGGUACAUUAGUGCGGUACCCCUUUAUAUAUCCCCUUUUUAAAGGUUGUGGGGGAUCGAGCGUAGUUCGCCCUACCGAGUCCAGUACCAGGUACCUCUGGACCAACCAACUGGGGUUUCUGUUCCUUCUUUUUGUAUAUUUUUGCAACCUUUUGUAUGUAUCGUUUAUCAAUUUCUUGAUAGCAACAAUAUGAAGGAAUUUCUUAAUUUGUAGGCAUCAAACACUUAUAUUCAUCGGCUCUCCACGUGGUUUGUGCUUUAGACGGUGCUGACUGCUAGUAUAAACUACUAGGGGUUAAUCUAGAAUGGAGACUUAAGGUGUCGAUAUAAUGGUUACUCAAACUAAUCUCGUAGAAAUGAGGGAUCUAGGGUGUCAGGGUGGUAUCAAUCUUGUUAGAUCUUUCUCAGUUUUCCUAACAAAACCUCUGCAAGACAACCUAUAUACUCAUAGGGUAUGCAUUUUAAGCUUAAGGAAAAAAAAAUUGUUAUGCCAAAAUAUGUAUAAAUGAUCGAUAAGGACAAACAAGCUGAAAAUACUAACAAUAGAAACAAGUAGAUGAGUGAUAAGGAUUUCCUCCCACAUUUAAUCAAUGCAUUAUCCUCAAUGCGACAAUAUACAUAAUAAAAAGAAAUAAAGAAAUGUCACUACUCGUCGUUACGUUGUUGGCUUCUGCGUGCUCUGGCUCUUGCUCUUGCGCGCUCACCUCUUCCCUGCUAGGUAGGAUCCAACCCUACAUGCUGAGUGUACUCCUGGAUGGCAUCUAUGCGAUAAGUUAGGGAACUCAUCUGGUCUGAAAGCUCCAUCAUCCCCUGAUCAUGCCAGUUAGCAUAAUCGUGUUGGUCCCACUGUAUUUGCUGGAUCGCUUGCAUCAUUUCCGUUUGGCGUUCUUCCAUUCUUUGGUUGUGUCGCAGCAUCUCGGCGUAGAUGUUUUCCAUGGAGGCGGGUCUUUGCUCGCUUCUUCGCUAUCCUCGGGAAGAUGUCUCUGCAGCGUGCUCUUGAGGUGGUUGAGGCAUGCCUCGGUCAAGCUCCUCCUCGACUUCAUCUGCUCCAUUACCAGGAUUUCCUUCAUUUGCCUCGGGGGCAUCCAGAUCAAAAAUCCAAUUUGCCAUAUCUUUCAGAUCUGUGCGGUUCCUGUUUGGCAUGAUGAUGCUUCGAACUACCUUGUUUCUGACAACAAGAUGGUACUUCCCGUCAUCUCUUGCUUUGAUCAGGUAGCACGACAAUAGUCGAUGUCGAGGAAUUCUGCUGGCAAAGCUGGCAAGUUGGCGAGCCUAUCUCCCAGAUUCAAGCCUAAUGCUAUGGAGGUGAUGAUUCCCCCAAAACAAAAUGCCUGGCUGCCUCUCAUGCACGCAGCCUGGAUGUUGGCUAGUAGGAAAGGAGUGACAUUGAACGCAAUUGGGGAAAACACACAGUGAAAAAGGAAAAGUUCCUUGGAGUUUACCUUAUGAUUGCUGACUCUUCCAAAAACUGUGUGCCCCAGGACUCGGUGGAAAUAUCUAAUGGCUGGGUUGUGAAUAUAUGUUGCGUUAAGCGUAUCCCAGCUCAGUUUACCUUAUGAUUGCUGACUCUUCCAAAAACUGUGUGCCCCAGGACUCGGUGGAAAUAUCUAAUGGCUGGGUUGUGAAUAUAUGUUGCGUUAAGCGUAUCCCAGCUCGUGGCGUUCAUGUUGGUGAGGUUGUGCCAAACUUGAAAUGCUAUCUCUGACCAUCCGUCAGGGAUACAUCAUUGAAUUCCUUCUCCAUGUCGAAAACCAAGCAUUCACGCUAUCUGGGUUUGAUUUAGGGAAUACUCGGUGCCGAACAUUCUAAAUGUGGCGACUCCGAUGAGAUACUGAGUUGCGCCAGGGGGUGUAAUAUAGGAGUAGGAACUCAGAAAUUCCAGGGUCAGCGUUUCGUAGAUUGGUUGCGAUGUGGUACACAGUUGCGUCAAGCUGGAGUUUGUUAGCAUCCACUCCACGCCCUCCAAAAGUCCUAGCUCCGUCAGGAAUUCAAUAUCAACAUACCUCGUGGCUUGUAUUGAGCGUUGGUAGAACUUGAGGUAAUUGUCUCUUUGGCGUUCGCCGGCUUCUCCAUUUCUGAAUACGACGGUUGAGAGGUCGGGAGUAGCUAUUUCUUGACGGGCCAUUGAUACGGUUUAUGAAACUUUUAGUGUUGGUGGGUGAGAUGGAAUAUUGUGAGUUACACGCUUGAAAAAAAUGUAAAGAACUGAAUAAUGGAGAGCAGAAUAGUAUGAGUGUGGUGAUUGAUGAGGAAGAAGAGAGGAAGAGUGCCUGCAUUUAUAGGCGAGCUCUCUGGAUUUCGUGACGAUCGUCAUAGGGGUGUGACGGUCGUCACGCGCAACGGGUGCGUAAUGGUCGUCUGCAAUGGUCAGAUGCUCGUAACAGUCAUUUUCAUGUCGUGUGACGAUCGUGGUAGAUCCGUGACGGUCGUCACGUCUGUGAGAUGAGCGUCACACUAUAUGUGACGAUCGUCACACGCUGAUUUUCAAUUUUCUCAUCAAAGGUUGUAGUAGUUUUAAUUUCAGUAGCAUAUGAUAACAGUAUAAUAUGAUAACUAAGCAAUUGAAUUUAAAAGCAUAAAUGAAUAGAUAAAUAAAUAUAGAAGCAUAAAUAAAUGAAUAACAAUGUUAUUGAAUUAAUAGAUUGAAAUUAAAUGUAACAUAAGAAAAAAUAAUUACGAUAGCAGAGCAAAAAGUAAUAAAAUAAUUAACCAAAAGUAAUAAAAUAAAUGUGCUCCCUCCCCAUACAAAACAAAGCAGUGUCCUCAUUGCUUAAUGCGAGUAGGAGAAAUCAGUGGUCAGUAGUAUUAGCCACGGUUUUGUCCCAAUGCAGCUACAACCUGGUUCAGGUGAUGAAACUGCUCGACGACUAUAUCCAUAAGGCCUAAGAUAUCAAAGCGCAUGAUCUUUAUCUCUUCUUUCACAAUUGUGAUGUCAGCUUGGAAAUCAUUCAGACGGGUCAGAAGCAUGGCAAGAUUAUCAGCAUAUGAUGGAGGAACCGGUUCAUCAAUGUUAUAGUAGUUGGGAGGUGUUUCAGGGUCAGAUUCUUCCACAUGGAUAAGGUCAUUGAUAUACUCAUAUUUAGGCGGUGUCUCGGGAGGUGAAGGUGGAUCAGUAGGGUGUUCAUCUAAGUCAUAAAGCCAGCUAUUACGGUUGUGAACACUCGUUCUCUCAUGGUUAGGCAAGGUAAAUAGUCGGACCACUUCGUUAUUGAUUAAAUAAUCAAAGGUAUCCGGCCCAAGGUUUCAUAUGAUUCUACGAUCAAAGCAAAUAUCGAUAUCCAUGGGUCGGAUGUUUCCAAAUGGUACAUGCUCGUAAAGUGGGCGUCUAAGUCCGAUGGUGUCUGCUAUCAUGGUUACUAGGCCACCUAUAAUUAUUGGGGUACGAUUAUUCUUAGCAAGGUGAACAAAUAUCUCCAUCAUGAAUGUCACAAUAUUGACAUGUCGACCUUGAUCGACACAUAACAAGAUGAAAAGUUCAUCGCGGGACACUAUGGUGUUGUUCUCUUCCUAACCAAAUAGGGUGUGGGCCAGUAUUUUAUGGAAGUAGCGGAUAGCAGGGUUAUAGAUCAUUUGUGAGUGCAUCUCAUUCGGGUUAGGGUUGGAUUCUCCAUUUAAGCUACCCCAAAAGUCAUCUAGGUCAAUGUCAUCGAUUAGUUCCUCCUGGCGGGUAGUAAAAACGAAAGGGCCACUAGGAAAUCCUAGGAGGUCAGCAAGGUCUCGACGGCAAUAGGUGAAGUCCAUGCUAAACAGCCUAAAGGAUAUCAACCCUUUGUUAAGUCCAUAACCAUGCUCGGGAUUGUAAAUCAGGGAGCUAAGGAAUUCUAAGGUUAAUUCACGGUAAGUGACAAACCGUCUCUUAAUAGCUGCAUUCUCCCACCCUAGCUGGUUAAACAUAAAUAGGAUGCUAUCUCGGAUACCUAACUUAUCCAUGGUAGGUCCAUCAUAAUAAAUCGAUAAUGCCAUAUCCUUCAGAGAUAGAUAAUCAUACUGCCUUCUCUGAACUCUGCCUCUGAAAACGGUAUCUACUUGUUGCAUGAUGAAAGUAAGUAACUAACUAGUUAGUAAUUUUCCUGUUUAUCAGUAUCCAAUAUGUCCAAGUUAGUAACUAGAAGCAACAAGAAUGACUGCAAAGAAUCAAGAAGAGGGGAGCAAAAGAUAAAGAAGAAAAUCAAAGAAGGAAAAUAGUUUGUAGCAAAGAUAACAAAAAAGGUGGAUUGUCUCCCACUAAGCACUUUGUUUAAUGUCGUAAGUUCGACAGUAGCGUCACGGUGUACUAGGCUUGGGUUUGAGCGGGAAACUCUAUGAGUCUGAGACUGUUCGAAUAGUCUCUAUUUUCAAUAUUAUGAUAAUGCUUUAAUCGCUGCCCGUUUACUAUAAAACCAAGUGAUAAGGAUGGAAAAUAAAGAUAGCGUGGCGAAAACUGGACUUUGGUGAUCUCGAAAGGGCCGGACCACCUAGAUUUAAGUUUUCCUGGAAAAAGUUUAAGUCUUGAAUUGAAUAGUAGCAUUAUGUCGCCGGCAUUAAACUCCUUCCUAGAAAUGCGUUUGUCAUGCCAUUUUUUGGUUCGCUCUUUGUAUAUCCUGGCAUUCUCAUAGGCGUCUAGUCUUAGCUCUUCCAAUUUGUGAAUGUCCAGAAUUCGUUUCUCGCCUGCGGAAGUGUAGUUUAUAUUUAGGGUCUUAAUCGCCCAAUAUGCUUUGUGUUCUAAUUCCACAGGGAGAUGACAGGAUUUACCAUAGACUAGUUUAAAGGGUGUGGUUCCUAUUGGGGUUUUGUAAGCCGUCCUAUAGGCCCACAACGUUUCGUUUAGUUUAGAUGACCAGUCUUUUCUGGAUAUUCCUACAGUCUUCUCUAGAAUUUGUUUGAUUUCUCGAUUCGAGACUUCGACUUGCCCGCUAGUUUGUGGGUGAUAAGGUGUUGCUACACGGUGUCGGACUCCAGACUUCAGAAGCAGUUUUCCAAAGAUAUUCGAUAUGAAGUGGGAGCCACCGUCAUUAACUACUAGUUUUGGCACACCUAAUCUAGGAAAUAUGAUGUUCUUGAAUAACUUAAUCACUACUCGUGUGUCGUUUGUCGGAGAGGCUACAACCUCGAUCCAUUUUGAAACCUAGUCGACAUCAACGAGUAUGUACUUAUUACCAAAAGAAGAUGGGAAUGGUCCCAUGAAGUCAAUCCCCCGUACAUCGAAGACUUCUACUUCUAAGAUUCCUGUUUGUGGCAUUUCAUUGCGUCUUGAGAUGUUGCCAGUGUGUUGGCACCGGUCGCAUUUUAUAACCGCGUUAUGGACAUCUUUCCAUAGAGUGGGCCAAAAGAGGCCUGAUUGCAGGAUCUUAGUACAUGUCUUUGAGGUACUUGCAUGCCCUCCAUAGGGAGCGGAAUGGCAAUGAGAGAUUAUAUCAUCUAUUUCAUCCUCAGGAACACAUCGACGGAAGAUACCGUCGGGACCUCUUUUGAAGAGCAGAGGUUCAUCCCAGUAGUAUUGUUUUAGAUCGUGAAAGAAUUUCUUCUUUUGUUGGUAAGAUAGGUCCGGUGGAAGUACUCCGACAACUAGGUAGUUGACAAAAUCAACAUACCAUGGCAGAGUUGCAUUCGCAUGUAUUUCUUUUACGGAUUCUUCUAUUUCUGUAUCGUUUAAUGUUAGUUCAGACAUAUCGCUUUCCAUUUGGGCUAUGAUUCGUUCGUAAGGGAAAUCGUCAUUAAUUGGAAUUGGUUCAAGUUUAUUCCCUUCGAUUCGUGAUAAAUGGUCUGCUACUACGUUUUCAGUACCUUUCUUAUCUUUUAUCUCUAAGUCAAAUUCUUGUAAGAGCAGGGUCCAUCUUAAAAGUCUUGGUUUGGCAUCCUUCUUACUUAACAGAUAUCUAAUAGCGGCGUGGUCGGUAUAGAUGAUAAUUUUCGCCCCUACUAGGUAGGAACGGAAUUUGUCCAAGGCGAACACGACGGCUAGAAGUUCUUUUUCAGUGGUGGCGUAGUUCAUUUGGACUGGAUCUAACGUUCUACUUGCAUAAUAAAUAGCAUGAAGCUUCUUAUCCUUUCUUUGUCCUAGUACUGCGCCUACUACGUAAUCACCCGCAUCACACAUGAUUUCGAAAGGUAAUCUCCAGUCAGGUGGUUGCACAAUGGGUGCGAUGAUUAAAGAUGUUUUUAGUUGGUUGAACACUGUUAAAAAUUUUUCAUCAAAGAUGAAAUCAACGUCCUUCAUUAAUAAACCCGUAAGUGGCUUGUUAAUUUUCGAGAAAUCUUUAAUGAAACGUCGGUAGAAACCGGCGUGUCCUAAAAAGCUUCGUAUUUCUCGAACGGUUUUCGGAGGUUGAAGGUUCUCUAGGAUUUCGAUCUUAGCUUUGUCUAUUUCAAUUCCUCUGUCAGAUACCACGUGACCUAAUACGAUUCCUUGUUGAACCAUGAAAUGGAAUUUCUCCCAUUUUAAAACGAGGUUUACCUUUACGCAUCUUUCGAGUACCAUUUCAAGGUUUGAUAGACAUCCUUCAAAACUCUGCCCACAAACAAAAAAAUCAUCCAUAAAGACUUCCAUGAUGUCGUCUAUAAAAUCGGCGAAGAUCGCCAUCAUGCAUCUUUGAAAUGUUGCGGGAGCGUUGUAUAAUCCAAAUGGCAUUCGUCGGUAGGCGAAUGUACCAUAAGGGCAUGUGAAGGUAGUAUUUUCUUGGUCGUCAGGAUGGAUUGGGAUUUGAAAGAAUCCUGAAUAACCGUCUAGAUAGCAGAAGUGAGAAUGCUUAGCCAAUCGUUCAAGCAUUUGGUCAAUGAAGGGUAAAGGGAAAUGAUCUUUCCGAGUGGCUUUGUUUAGUUUUCUAUAGUCGAUGCACAUUCUACUUCCGGUCACAACUCUUUGUGCUAUAGAUUCUCCCUUCUCGUUCUUAACAACUGUAACACCCCCUUUCUUGGGUACUACAUGAACGGGGCUAACCCAUUGACUAUCGGAGAUCGGGUAUAUGAUUCCAGCAUCUAGAAGUUUCUUUACUUCAUCCUUGAAUCUUGGGUACUACAUGAACGGGGCUAACCCAUUGACUAUCGGAGAUCGGGUAUAUGAUUCCAGCAUCUAGAAGUUUCUUUACUUCAUCCUUGACUACCGUACUUAGGAUUGGGUUGAUCCUUCUCUGUUGUUCUCUAGAGGUUUUACAAUCUUCCUCUAGCAUAAUGCGAUGCAUACAGAUAGAAGAACUUAUUCCUUUUAGAUCGGCGAUGUUAUAUCCUAACGCAGUUGGAUAUUUUCUUAGAACAUCUAGUAAUUUCUCAGUUUCCAUCUGUCCCAAGUCAGCAUUAACUAUUACUGGUCUUUUCAGUUCAGUGUCUAGGAAUUCGUAUCUUAGGUUCUUUGGUAGUGCUUUUAAUUCCAAGUUAGGUUUCUUUGGGCAUGGCAUGUAGUUGGGUGUAAGUGCUAAACACUCGCUUAGACUUUCGUUUUGGUAUGGUUCAUGCCAAUUAUCGUCUUCAAGGAUUGGAGGGAUUUGGAUUUUCAUUAUAUCAGAGUAUGUGGUUUCUUGCAUCUCCAUCUCUCUCACGCACUCGUCUAUGACAUCAAGUAGAUAACAGGUAUCAUCUAUAGCUGGCGCUUGUAAGAAUUGGGUCAAGAUGAUUUCAACCUUUUCCUCUCCAACUUCGAAUGUUAGCUUACCUCUCUUUACGUUUAUUAUGGCUCCAACGGUAUCCAAGAAUGACCUUCCUAGUAUGAUAGGUGUACUGGAAUCUUCUUUGAUGUCCAUGAUUAUGAAGUCUGUAGGAAUGUAAAAUUGUCCUACACGUAUUGGAUAUUUGAUUGAGUGGUCAGCUAAUUGAACAGACAUCUUGGUUGAUCUUAAUUCUCCCAUACUGAGCCUUUUACAGAUGGUUAAGGGCAUUAGACUAAUGUUGGCUCCUAGAUCGCAUAGAGCUUUGUCUAUGCCGAAUUCUCCAAUGACAUAGGGUAUGGAAAAACUACCCGGGUCUUUUAGUUUGGGAGGCAUGUUAUUCUGGAUUAUUGCGCUACACUCUGCAGUAAGUGUAACUGUUUCGUUAUCCUCAAUCUUUUUCUUAUUGAAUAGGAUUUCCUUAAGAAAUUUGGCAUAGGAGGGCAUUUGUGUGAUGGCUUCUGUAAAGGGUAUCGUAAUGUUUAGUUGCUUCAGAAGUUCAACAAAUUUCCUAAAUUGACUCGCAGUUUUAGAACUUGUGAGUCAUAAGAAAUUUGGCAUAGGAGGGCAUUUGUGUGAUGGCUUCUGUAAAGGGUAUCGUAAUGUUUAGUUGCUUCAGAAGUUCAACAAAUUUCCUAAAUUGACUCGCAGUUUUAGAACUUGUGAGUCUUUGAGGAUACGGAAUGGGUGGUUUAUAAGGAGGUGGAGGCACAUAAGGUGUUUCUUUAUCUUCGGCCUCUCGGGUAUUAUCUUCUGUUUCCUUUGGUUCAUUCACCUACUCAGUUGAGGUUUUAUCUGGUUUUUGGUACAUGGCAGGGUUUUGGAGUCUUGGAUCCACGGGUCCGUCUAUUUCUUUUCCAAUCCUCAGUAUAACGACAUUUGCGUGUCCUUUUGGAUUAGGUUGCGGCUGUCCAGGAAAUGUUCCAGCUGGAGCGGCUGUAGAUGCUUGAUGUUGAGCCACUUGUGAAAUCUGUGUUUCAAGCAUUUUAUUGUGGGCGGCUAAGGCGUCUACUUUGCUCGCUAGUAUGUAUGUUUUGGUUCAAGAAGUCUUUGUUUGUAUGAGCUUGGGUAGCUAUGAAGCUUUCCAUCAUUAAUUCGAGAUUUGACUUCCUAGGCAUGUUAGGAGCAUUAUUAGCUGGCUUUUGAUAUCCAGGCGGAAUAGCUGGUGCUUGGCCAGGUGCAUACAGGACGUUGUUAUUCUUAUACGAGAAAUUAGGAUGGUUUUUCCACCCUGGAUUGUAGGUACUCGAAUAGGGAUUUCCUUGCGCGUAGUUUACUUAAUCGAUUGGGACUCUUGCUAAUAUUUGACAUUCUUGUGCAGUGUGUCCAGGGUUUCCACAUAACUCACAGUUUGGAGUUACAGCAACCACGGUGGCUGUGGGUGGUAUGGUCAAGUUAUCUAAUUUUUGAACAAGGGCAUCUACCUUGGCAUGAACAUGGUCAAGGCUACUGAUUUCGUACAUUCCACCCUUUGUCUGGGACUUUUCCACUGGAGUUCUUUCACCUCCCCAUUGGCAAUGGUUUUGGGCCAUGUUUUUAAUGAGUUGAUAAGCUUCGUUGUAUGGCUUGUCCAUAAGUGCAACGCCCGCGGCAACGUCUACUGUCAAUCUUGUGUUAUAUAGAAGCCCAUUGUAAAAUGUGUGAAUGAUCACCCAGUCUUCGAGACCGUGAUGUGGAAAUAUCCUCAUCAUGUCCUUGUAUCUCUCCCACGCUUCGUAGAGAGAUUCUAUAUCUUUUUGUCGGAAUCUGUUGAUUUGAGCUCUCAACAUAGCAGUUUUGCUCGGCGGAAAAUAUCGGGAUAAGAAAACGUUCUUCAGUUCUUCCCAUGUUGUGACUGAGUUGGAGGGCAAGGAUUGCAACCAAGCCCAAGCUCUGUCUCUUAGUGAGAAAGGAAAGAGGCGCAGUCUUAUCGCAUCUUGAGAUACACCAUUCGCCUUUACAGUAUUUGCGAAUUGCACAAACUUGGUCAGGUGUUCAUUAGGAUCGUCUGUAGGAUUUCCAGCAAAUUGAUGUUGUUGGACGAUUGAUAAUAGUGAGGGUUUCAGCUCGAAAUCGUUUCGAUUGAUAGCGGGGGCAGCAAUGUUGUUGUGAGGUUCUUGUUGAGACGGGGUAACGUAGAAUUUAAGAGGACGAUCCUGUGGUCCUUCUUCAACCAUGGUUGGUUUUUCUUCUGGUUUAGGAGGAGAGAAAAUAUCGGGAAUAUCGUACUUUUGUUGAUAUUCGUGUAUUCGGCGCCUUACGGAUAAGAAACGCUCUAAUUCUGGGACUGGUGGUGCUAAGUUAUCGCCUUGUGAACGAGUACUUGGCAUACAAUCGGGGGAAUUAAGGGAGAGUAAAUUAGUUUUUAUUUUUACCUUAGUCUAUACCGUGCAACGAAAGAAUCGCACUAUUCGACUAAAACAGGUCCCCGACAACGGCGCCAAAAACUUGAUGCUUGAUCUGGCUAUAUAUAAAAUAUAGUCUAUCGGGUACUUGACUGCAAGUGCACAGUCCAGUCGCUUUAGUUUUAAAAGAUAUUGAUCCCACAGGGACCUAUGGUCAAACUAGUGUUACUAACGUCACUAUGUUUAGCUAGGAAUGAUUAGUAGAAGUUCGGGUGCAGAAUAUUAAAUCUAAGGAAAUUUAGUUUUAAGAAAGAAUUGAUGGAAGGAAAUAGUAUGCAACGCAUUAAUUGUCAGGGAUUCGAUAAGUCACCGGUGAAUAGUUUAAAUGCCAAAUAUCUCUCAGUAGAAAAUAUUUAUUUAAAAAGCUUUAUCUCACACUCUCAUGAUUGUUGAUUCGGCCUAUAGCUUUAAGUCAGAAUGUACGCUCUCGCUGUCCAUUUGAAGUUAAAAUUACUUUUUGAAAUAAAUAAGUUCUAAUUGCUUUUAAAGGCUCCUCUGUUUUAAACUCAAUGCCUAAUUUUACUAUCCAGCUCGAGCCUCACGCUCUCGCGAUUGUUGGUUCUCACCUUAGUUAAUUUCCCACUCUCGUGGCAAAAUCGUAUUAAAUAGCUUCUCACGCUUUUGUGAUAAAGUUAAUUAAAUUUAGAUUAAAACUUCAGCCUAAAGAUUGUUUGAGAAAAGGGGGAGAGUUUUCAUCACCCGAUUAUUAUUAAAUCCCAUCUAAUUAAAUUGCUACAUACCGAUACCGGUAAUUUAGCCGGACAUGUUAAAUAAGGCAAACACAGAGCAUAAACAGAUCAACAUUGCGACAAACAUAAUUAUAAUAAUAACUGGGCAAUAAUAAUAAUAAUCUAAUAAAAACUUGGGAAUCGAAGUAACAGAGUAUAACGAAUCUCGGAGUACUUGAGCAGUCCUCCACAAGUCGGUAGGCUUCUGCUUCUUCAAUACAAAUUUCUUACUAAUUUAAAUAAAGUGUAGUAGUUCCUCAGUGUAGGAAACUACUACUAUGGCUAACUGGAAAACAGGAAGGAAAAGAGAAAACGAGAAUUCUAAAAAAAAAUGGCAAAUGAACUAAGGCAACGGAAACAAAGUUGCUGAAAAGAAAAUAACUAAAAAGCUAGAAUGUUGUAAAAAUUAAUUGCAGAGCGUAAGUGUAGAUGUUCCAUUUUUUCCAACUUUGGUCCUUUAUAUAUUGCCUUGGUAGGUCUUGGCGGUUGAGAAAUUUAAGGAAGACUGGUUGAAUGAGGAUUCCACGGGGGAGUCUUGCUGUUGGAGAGAAUUUAGGCACGUUUGGGUGCCUCUGGCUGAAUGUUUCAAAGCGUAAAAUCUGGCCGUAUGACGUUCGUCAUGGGCCUGUGAUGGUCGUCACAGGCUGGAUUGUGACGGUCGUCAUGAAGCUUAUGACGGUCGUCACAACAAUAAUUUCUGCAUUCUGGUUUUCUGCUUUCUCAUGUGCUUUCUCAUUUGUUUCUUCUUCUUUUUCUUCCUUUUCUUCAUUUUGCUCAUUAAUGCUUGGAGAUUUAAAUACCUUCAAAAACAACUCGAACACUUGCGGAAUAAUCAGAAUAUUAAUCAAAGUGGUAUGAUCUUUGAGAGUAAAUCAAGGCAAAUAUCUGACGUAUUUUCGCAUUAUCAGUUUUAUAGGGGAAUUAGUGGGGGUUUGGAUUGGUGAAAUACGUGUGUAAGACAAAGAUCAAGCAUGUGAACGUAUGAUGGAAAUCGUGUGACUUUAGAUAUUUUCUGAAUUUGGUUAAUCUAGCGUGUGAUGGAGAGAAAUUGUGAGUGAUUAUGGUGAGCUGGAAUUGAGAGGUGGAAGGUGAGAAUAUCUCUUCCUGAUUUUGUGGAAAGGAUCCUUAUUUGAAAGAUUGUGUGGAAUAUUUUGAAUGAAUUCUUGUUUUGCUCUUGAUGAUUUCCAAAAUGAUGUAUAAAUGUAUGUGUAAAUGUGACUAGUGGUGGUCCCAACUUCUUGCCCUAUGAUCAUGUAUGGUAUGGUUGUUGAUGCAUUGCAGCUUACUUAUGUGAAUGAUUCCAUUGGAUUUUCUUCUUUUGAUGUCAUGUUGCUUAUGAUAUGAUGAUGAUGUUUACGAUCCUAUUGCAUUAUUCAUUUUUGUUUGGCUGAAUUAUGAUGGAUAUGUAUUGAUGAUGAUAUUGUGUGAUGCCUUUCACUUCAUUAAUUCCAUGUUGGUUUUGUUUGACUCAUUUGGCUCAUGUAAUGCGGGGUACCUGGACUGUGUUGUGAUGGUAUGAAGAUAAUAGAUGGGCAUGAUUAUGGAUGUUGCAGUAAGGUGAAAAUGUUAACAUGUUGAAGGAAACCGUGUGGGCCAACUUGGAGUCCAUUUUUCUCUCUUUUUUGUUGUUGUUUUAUACCAUGUAAAAAAUGUAAAAUCAAACUUCUUUGUGUAUUUGUACUUUUCAAAAGAUGAUGUAAUAUAUGUUUAUGAGAAAAUGUUCUUUUUUUGUGUUUGACAUUUUUUAUCAAUAUGAUGUAAAAGUAACUUAUUUUAAC